UACGGAGGGUGCAAGCGUUGUCCGGAUUCACUGGGUUUAAAGGGAGCGCAGGCGGAUUAGUAAGUCAGUGGUGAAAGCCUUAAGCUUAACUUGGGAACUGCCAUUGAUACUAUUAGUCUUGAAUGUUGUUGAGGUUUGCGGAAUGGGUCAUGUAGCGGUGAAAUGCAUAGAUAUGACCCGGAACACCUAUUGCGAAGGCAGCAGGCUAAACAAAUAUUGACGCUGAGGCUCGAAAGCGUGGGGAUCAAACAGG
rnacentral:rRNA from 1 species